rnacentral:sRNA from 1 species
AGGAACGCGUCGCGGCGUGUCCGUGACCAGGGCACCGCGCCACGGAUGCCAGAUCCCAGGCUGGAGAGAGCGGGUUCCCCCAGAUCCGCGGGCAGAGGCGCAGAGCCGAAGCCCGGAGGAGAGGAGUUUGAGAGCCGCCAUCUUCAGGCGGUGAGGCAGGAGGCGGCUGCGGGCUGGAGCGCGCGUUUGAGCGUCGGUGCGCGCUGUCCCGGGCGCCGCCGAGUCACUGCGAAGGAAAACGGGGCGGGCUGGAGGCUCGACAGCGCGUCGAUGACGUCCUCCCGGCCUUUCGAGGCGCACGCCACGGGCGCGCUGCUGGGUGCUGCUUUUAAAAGAAGUGAGGCUGGGCGGGGCCCCGGCGGGGAGAAGACGCUCUGCGCAGCAGGGGCGGAUCGCGGGGAAUUUCCUCUCAGCGCCGCAGGUGUCUGGGCGUGUGCAGAUGUGUUGGCACGCACUUGCCGCUGCAGCCCCUCUGUUGGCCCUUUAGCUUCGAUGGGGCGCUGGUGGCCGCCUCUCACUAG